GGAUAAGUGGACGUUACUCGCAGAAUAAGCACCGGCUAACUCUGUGCCAGCAGCCGCGGUAAUACAGAGGGUGCAAGCGUUAAUCGGAUUUACUGGGCGUAAAGCGCGCGUAGGCGGCCAAUUAAGUCAAAUGUGAAAUCCCCGAGCUUAACUUGGGAAUUGCAUUCGAUACUGGUUGGCUAGAGUGUGGGAGAGGAUGGUAGAAUUCCAGGUGUAGCGGUGAAAUGCGUAGAGAUCUGGAGGAAUACCGAUGGCGAAGGCAGCCAUCUGGCCUAACACUGACGCUGAGGUGCGAAAGCAUGGGGAGCAAACAGGAUUAGAUACCCUGGUAGUCCAUGCCGUAAACGAUGUCUACUAGCCGUUGGGGCCUUUGAGGCUUUAGUGGCGCAGCUAACGCGAUAAGUAGACCGCCUGGGGAGUACGGUCGCAAGACUAAAACUCAAAUGAAUUGACGGGGGCCCGCACAAGCGGUGGAGCAUGUGGUUUAAUUCGAUGCAACGCGAAGAACCUUACCUGGCCUUGACAUAGUAGAAACUUUCCAGAGAUGGAUUGGUGCCUUCGGGAAUCUACAUACAGGUGCUGCAUGGCUGUCGUCAGCUCGUGUCGUGAGAUGUUGGGUUAAGUCCCGCAACGAGCGCAACCCUUUUCCUUACUUGCCAGCAUUUCGGAUGGGAACUUUAAGGAUACUGCCAGUGACAAACUGGAGGAAGGCGGGGACGACGUCAAGUCAUCAUGGCCCUUACGGCCAGGGCUACACACGUGCUACAAUGGUCGGUACAAAGGGUUGCUACCUAGCGAUAGGAUGCUAAUCUCAAAAAGCCGAUCGUAGUCCGGAUUGGAGUCUGCAACUCGACUCCAUGAAGUCGGAAUCGCUAGUAAUCGCGGAUCAGAAUGCCGCGGUGAAUACGUUCCCGGGCCUUGUACACACCGCCCGUCACACCAUGGGAGUUUGUUGCACCAGAAGUAGCUAGCCUAACUGCAAAGAGGGCGGUUACCACGGUGUGGCCGAUGACUGGGGUGAAGUCGUAACAAGGUAGCCGUAGGGGAACCUGCGGCUG
rnacentral:rRNA from 1 species